UCCUAAGUAGUAUAAGAGGUGUUUUAACUU
rnacentral:piRNA from 1 species